ACAACAGCUUGAGAGCCGCAGUUUGAGGAUGCCUGCUUUAAUGGAUCUGAGCUGCAAUACCAGACACAACCCAUGGACGGGUGUGGUGCUGUUUCUGGAAGAAAGCAGCCAUGUUUUCCUAAUCCUCUACAAACCCUCUAAAUUCCACUUCUCCGGUGAAGACCACUGUACAAUACUAACUUUAGCAAAUUAUUAUUAUAUAUAUUUUUUUUAACCCAUAGAAAAGAUGAACAGAACAGUCGUGUGAUCUGGUGCACAAGCUGUAAUACAUGGGCGCCUGUGUGUAAGAGGGGGAGGGGGGAGAUUCUCUACGUGUGGCAGCUGCUGAUACACUAAAGUCUCUUCUGUAGAAUCGGGGGAAGAUAAAGACUCAAAUGUGACUGUGUCAAAGGGGUAGUGACAAAGUGAAGAGUGGCAGGUGGGGCAUGCGCACUUCCACUCCAUUCAUCUCUAUGAGACUGCCGGAGAUGGCAGCGCUCGGCUCAUAGAGAUAAAAGGAGCAGCCGAGCGCAUUCCCCACCUGUUGUUCUGUUCAAUUCAGGGGCCCCUGCGGGGUACAUUACCCCCAGUCUCAUGAUCAUUGGGGUCCCAAUGAUUAUAUCCAUAGGGAUGAGCCCCUUUUAAACACCACCUGAUACAUACAUUUGCAGUCCUAGAUGGAAGCACAGCCAUUCUGUUCACCAUUUCCUGAAUAAGUUUAUAAUCUACAGCAAUACGGAGAGGUUUAAAUUAUACGGAAAUUAAAACCCAAUGUCCGCCCCACAUAACUGAACGGAAGCGAGGAAUAUACGCGGCGCUCUGGUCCCUAUAUGUAAUGUACUCUGGUCCAGCCAUCCCUACAAUUACAUGAGUCCUGUUCGGUGAAUAUACUGGUACUAUGGAGGGGGCACAAACUUAUAUGAUGAAACUAAAUGAAAUAAUAAUAUUAUCAAUAUAAAAUCGUAUCAAAUAUAUUAAAUAAGCGGCUUAGAUAUGUGUAUUUUUUUUUGCAUUAUAUAUUCAGACUUCAGCCUCCAAGUGUCUCUUUAAAUCCUCUCUAAUUUACCCCCAAAUAUUGUACAGAGCGAUGCCAACCAAUCAGAUGUUUGUGUUUUCUGACCACUUGCAAAAUGGCCUUAGAUUAUUAUUAUAAUUUAUUUAUUUUUUCUACUUUUCAUUAUAUGCAAUAAUACUGAUUACCCGUCCCAGGAGGAGGCAGGGAUAGCAUUUGCAGAGCAACAAUGAUAACAAGUAUUUUAAAUUUAUAACCGAAAAAAAUCUAUAUUAAUGUAUUCACAUGCUGCAGAGAUUUCUGCUCCUGUCCCAUCAAAUGAAUAGAGGCCGCUAAUGAAUGGUCAGUUGCAGAAAUUUC